GGCGGGGGCGGCCCGGUCGGGGCCGGCCGGUACGGGACCGGCCGGGGCGGGCGGCGCCGUGCCCGCGGGUGCUCCGGUCAUCCCUUGGCCCC
rnacentral:tRNA from 1 species